rnacentral:rRNA from 1 species
UGGGGAAUAUUGGACAAUGGGCGAAAGCCUGAUCCAGCCAUGCCGCGUGUGUGAAGAAGGUCUUCGGAUUGUAAAGCACUUUAAGUUGGGAGGAAGGGCAGUUACCUAAUACGUAUCUGUUUUGACGUUACCGACAGAAUAAGCACCGGCUAACUCUGUGCCAGCAGCCGCGGUAAUACAGAGGGUGCAAGCGUUAAUCGGAAUUACUGGGCGUAAAGCGCGCGUAGGUGGUUUGUUAAGUUGGAUGUGAAAUCCCCGGGCUCAACCUGGGAACUGCAUUCAAAACUGACAAGCUAGAGUAUGGUAGAGGGUGGUGGAAUUUCCUGUGUAGCGGUGAAAUGCGUAGAUAUAGGAAGGAACACCAGUGGCGAAGGCGACCACCUGGACUGAUACUGACACUGAGGUGCGAAAGCGUGGGGAGCAAACAGGAUUAGAUACCCAUGUAGUCCCUGAGCGGGCUGGCAAGGCGCAU